GAUGAACGCUGGCGGCGUGCCUAAUACAUGCAAGUCGAGCGAACAGACGAGGAGCUUGCUCCUCUGACGUUAGCGGCGGACGGGUGAGUAACACGUGGAUAACCUACCUAUAAGACUGGGAUAACUUCGGGAAACCGGAGCUAAUACCGGAUAAUAUAUUGAACCGCAUGGUUCAAUAGUGAAAGACGGUUUUGCUGUCACUUAUAGAUGGAUCCGCGCCGCAUUAGCUAGUUGGUAAGGUAACGGCUUACCAAGGCGACGAUGCGUAGCCGACCUGAGAGGGUGAUCGGCCACACUGGAACUGAGACACGGUCCAGACUCCUACGGGAGGCAGCAGUAGGGAAUCUUGCGCAAUGGGCGAAAGCCUGACGGAGCAACGCCGCGUGAGUGAUGAAGGUCUUCGGAUCGUAAAACUCUGUUAUUAGGGAAGAACAAAUGUGUAAGUAACUAUGCACGUCUUGACGGUACCUAAUCAGAAAGCCACGGCUAACUACGU
rnacentral:rRNA from 1 species